rnacentral:rRNA from 1 species
GCGGUGGAGCAUGUGGUUUAAUUCGACGCAACGCGAAGAACCUUACCAGGGCUUGACAUCCCCUGACCGCGUAUGAAAGUACGUUUUCACCUUCGGGAGACAGGGAGACAGGUGGUGCAUGGUUGUCGUCAGCUCGUGUCGUGAGAUGUUGGGUUAAGUCCCGCAACGAGCGCAACCCCUACGUUUAGUUGCUAACGCGUGAAGGCGAGCACUCUAGACGAACUGCCGUUGACAAAACGGAGGAAGGUGGGGAUGACGUCAAGUCCUCAUGGCCUUUAUGACCAGGGCUACACACGUACUACAAUGGCCGGUACAAAGGGCAGCGACACAGCGAUGUGAAGCCAAUCCCGAAAAGCCGGUCUCAGUCCGGAUUGGAGUCUGCAACUCGACUCCAUGAAGUUGGAAUCGCUAGUAAUCGCGGAUCAGCACGCCGCGGUGAAUACGUUCCCGGGCCUU